GACCCUGGGAGACUGCAGGACUGGAGACUGCAACCAGCGCGGCGUGUGUCGGGCAGGUUUGUGGUUACGCUUGGUGACCCCUCUUUCAUCUAGGUAGGCUCGAGCCGAGUGCGAGUUGCUUCCACGGAGGUCAGGGGCUGGCCUGUGGCUGCUGCGAGUUGUGUGCUAGUACUACUCGAGUUCCGGACCUCGCAUUGAGUAUGACUACCGUAUGCAGGAGUGCACGCGUGAGGGCAUGGCCGCAUGGGGCAUGGUUAUGUCGAGCUGCCGCUCGUUCCUUUCCCCUUCCUCCGGGAGUGGCCGUGCUGGGGUGUUUUAUGGAUGUGCUGAGGUCAGGCUACAACAUACGGGAAUGGAGCACAUAAAUUUUGAGCUCUCAUCGUAUGCGUUUGUUUGUUGUCAAUAAGAGCCUGAGCUCUUCGGACCGAAUCUGGGGCCGCCAUCCGGGCGGUGAUAAAGAUUGGCCAAGCGAGAAUUGGAUGAUGGCCACACAAUCAUCCCCGAGCGUGAUGUGUAACAUGAAAGUUGCUGUUGGGCCGCAAGAAACUGCUGCUGACGACAGGGCAGGUGACACUCUCUGCAGCUGUAUGGUGGGAGCUGGGCCUUGCAUGGGCACACAGAAGGGCACACGCGGGCGCCCACCUCCCGGCUCUGGAGCAGAACCACUCAGCUGAAACUCGUGGUGCACUGAGUAGUACCUCGUAUUGUUGACUCACUUCACAGGCCCUGACAGCACACGCAGAUACCUCCGUUGUCCAACGUCCAUGCAUGUGCAGGCGACCUGUCCACGCAGCCGAUGGAUGCCGUCCUGGUGCCACCCACACGAACCCCUCAGUCGGCGUCACAAUGCAUAAACCCCACCUCUCAACCUCAGCACCCUGCGGGACCUCGCCAACCUGCCUAAACCCUGUCCCAUCGCACACCUCUUAACCUCAGCUCCGGAUUACAACGACGGCAUUGCCAUGCAUGUAACCGUGCGUCCCUGCCGUAUCCAGAACUCAGACGCGACGAAGCCACAUAGGCCGCAGUGCUGACUGUAGCAGUCGACACGGUACCACGGAGCAUUCGCCGGCUGCGAAUCACUCACUGUUCUGUGUCAUGCACUCUAGCUCAUGCUCAUCCGGUACGCAUUCGUUGUAACCCCCGAACAAUGAAUACCCAUCCAUGGCACCAUGCAUCUGACUUGGUACCCGAGUUGCAUCCACGGGCACGCCGCGGCGCGGGUCCACGAGGUCGGCACACGCACACCGACAACGUUAGCCGGGUUGCAUCCACAACUCCACAGGAAGAGCAGCCGCAAGCAGCCAAAGUGUGCCCCGCUUUGGGGAGUGAGCCACGGUACACGGUCAUCGUUGAUUUGAUUUUGAGCCUGGAAUUGAUUAAAACCUCUUGCGCUUUCCCCUGUGCACAGGUGUGCACUCACGUGCAACACAUACGGCACGACCCUGCCAGCCCUACCUCCCGCACACAUGGCCAACCAUGCUCUUGCGUGGCUCACGGGCUGUGCCAGCACCCGUGCCUGGCUUCAACUUCAAGUACUGGCAGUCUGGCCAUGCCGCCAUGCCGCGACCCCCAGUGGCCCCAGCGCUGAUCAACCCACACCCACAACCAUCUCCGCCAAACUGCAUGUGCACGUGCAUUUGGUGCGAUUCAUAAUUCCGUACCCCGCAUCAUACCCGCGUCAUAACAGACCACUGACGUGACUACCCGCAGCGAUUCGUCGUCAGUCUUCAACUGUCAAGUUCCGUCGCAGACAAGAAGGGUGGCUCUCCGCUCAUGGUAUACACGCUGCGGCACCCACAUGAUUGUGAUGGUUCAGUUGCACCCGGGUAUCCGCCAAAUGCCAUGGCAAAUAACAACCGUCGCUGAAGGAUUUUCUCGCAAAUCAGGAAGAGACAGCAUGUGAUGCUGAGGUGCUCAGACUUCCGCAAUUCACAUACCGCACCGACAUCAUUGGGCACUCUAGUCAGCACCCGUCUGGAUCCAGCCCCGCACCCGGCCGUGUUUCUGGCGGCUGGGAGGGGGAAUCGGGACAUGCGGCGGGGAGCCAGCAGAUAUCACUGACUGCAAAAGUGAAGCAAUGCUUAUGAUGCAAUAGUGUGCCGUACGGCAUCCACGUUUGUGCGAAGCUGAUAAACGUACCGUAACUCAGCGCCUAGUGCUUGCCCGUGCAGGGCAUAUGCAUUGAAGUUGCAAUUUACCAAGUGGUGAUGGCGAUGUGUGUAAAGCAAAUGCAGGGUGUUGCGGCAUAACUUAUCCAACGCAAUCACCAAGCAGGCAUGCCGCGGUGGAAAUGCACAUCACACCCAGUGCAUACUCGACAAUGCCGCUUUCUCCAUAGCAGCACUCCCCAGCCUUGUCACCACAGGAUACAAUGGUGUUAUUGGACAGUCCACGCGAUACGCCCCAACAGUAUCACACUCCCACCUCCCACAACCCUUGAGUGUCCAACGGUCGCGUGUAGGAGAACCAUACGCCGGUUUGCCCAUACGGCCACAGUGUAUCAAUGCGCUUCUCCAAGCGUCAAUCACCCAACGGUCAAUACCCCGUAAUACGCCCAGAAUGCGCAUAUGCACACGCACAUGCGCAAUCCCUGGGCACCGCGCUUGCACAUGACCCCUAUCCACAGGCCCUUGCGGCCAUGCGUCACACGAGCCACUGGAUGCCUGCCACGCCGCACUUGCAGCUGUUGGUGCCCUCGGGGCUUGCUCCAACCCGCCGCUGCGUAGCAACAGGGACGGUGCACGCGCCCGCGAUGCGCGUCCUCAUUCGUACCCCUGCAGUCCCACAUACCCAGGGGCCACCGCAGGCGUCCCCACCAUCGUCCACAAUGCGCACACGGCGCCUGCCACCACUCCUGCAGCGGGCCCCCGCCAUCACUCCACCAUCAUGCCGCGCAAAUCCUCCGGCGCUACCUCCCAAACAGGCAGCCCCGAGCCCGAGCCCGCCAGCUGCAGCUGCAGCUGCACCGUACUCGCCGUGUCAGGCGUCCGCUGCACAACGCCAGCACCCGCCGCCGCCGCCGUGCUCUCCCGCGCCUUCUGCAGCAUCAUCAGCUGCGCCUGCGCGUCAGCCGUGGCGCGCGCCGGCCGCCCCGGCCCCGGCCCCAGAAGCCCCUGCGCCGCGGCCGCCGCGAUCUCGUCCCGCUGCCGUGUGCCCAUGACAGACAUGGAGUCAAAGUACUCGACCGCGCUGCCGCCCAGCCGCAAGCUCCACAGCUCCAACUUGUCACCCACGCCGCGGAUGGAGUGCAGGCCCAGGGAGGCGCCCAGCACGGGCAGCGGCGGCGGCGGCAGGCUGGAGCUGGCGGGCUGCAGGCCGCCGGUGGCUGCUGCUGCUGCGGCCGCGGCGGCCUCGGUGAGUGCGGCGAGCUCGGUUGCGGCCUGGUAGCAGCGCCAGGCGCGGCCGGUGCAGACGACCUGGCGGCGGGGGCGCGGGAGGGGGUGGCGGGGGUGGCGGGGGAUGGAGUUGCGGUUGCGUCGUUAGGGAAGAGAGAAGUGGAAUACCGGGCUGGGGGUGGGGGCUGCUGGGCGCGAGAGGUCCACUUGGCUGUGGGGGCUGUAUCCCUCGCUCCCCAUGCCGCUCCUUUCCCCACUAUCCAUCACCCCGCACCCGUGCCUCCACCUCCCGCCCCCCGCCGCCUCACCUGCCCCACCGACACGAAGGCGGCCAUGCGGCCCACAUUGCCUGCCAGCGCCCCCCUGUAGGCCAGGCGGCCCGUGGCGGGCAGCAGCUCGGCCUUGACACGCGCCACGUCCACGGCGCCGCGCACCCGCAGGCCGCGGAACAGGCAGCGCGCCGCGUCGUCGUGCGCUGACGCCACCGGGCCUGUGUGUUGGGAGGCAUAAGGGGAAAGCGUCGAAAGUGUGCAGGGGCGUGUGCGAUGUGGAGAAGGUAGGCGCGUGUGUAUCAUCCGUGCAUAAGCCGGAUAGCGACCCCGGCGCCUCAGGCUCGCGACCCAGCAACGGCAUCAGCAGCACCAGCCUGGCUGGCUGCCUGCCUCUUGCCAAAGCGCCAGAACCACCAGCCCGUCCCCCCGAGUCUACCACACUCCCCACCUCCACCUCCACCUCCGCCACGACCACCUCCACCACACGGCGCGCCACCCACCACCCCCCCGCUGCUCUCACCCUCCAUGUUCGGGUCCAGCAGCACCGGCCCCGCCACCUCCUCACACAGCUCGUGCGCCAGCAGCGCCUCACUCCAGUCCGCGGCCUUGAGCAGCGCCUCGCAGGAGGCAGCCCACCUGCAGGGGGGGGGGCACGCGGGUGUGAAUGCGAGGAGCAUAAAGAGAGGGGGCCGUAAAUACCAGCCUAAACCAAACCAAACCAAGUUGGGGCGGUGGACGUCGUGCGUGCAGCAAAAGCAAGCAGGCAGUGCACAGCGCCCGGUGUAGCCCAGCGUGUGCGUGUAUGUAUGUGAACACGCACACACGGGUUCAUCGGUACGGUACGGUUGAAGCCGGUAAGUGCCAGUUUGCCUGGUUCUCACUAUACCAUCGGUCGAUGCAAAAUGCCAUGCGGCACAGUUCCUGUGCCAAUGCCGCACCGCUCCCCAUUGCCCCGCAUCCACUGUGCGCCGCACUUCUCCCUCCCUUGCGCCCUUUCCCCGGCGCCCGCCCCACUUGCAGCGGCCGCACCUGACGGCCGAGGCUGCGCUGCAAAAGGCCGCCAGCACCCUGCCCGGCCCCUCCUCCACCAGCUGCCCGCCCAGCUGCCUCAGAGCCACCGUCACCACCACCCGCCGGAACGUGUCCAGAGCCUCCUCCGUCACCGCCUGCAGGGUGGGGGGAUUGCAUUCAUGAUUAGCUGAGGGAAUGGUAGACGGCAGGCAGCCUUGGGGGAUAAUCAAUCGUCACCGAAGAAAGCGCCUCUCGUCCUGUCCCAAUACCAAAAGCCCCCACCCCGCUGUUUCUUGACAAAGCAUGAUUGCAACCUCCCCCCAAGCACCCUGCUGCCCCCCACCUUGUCCCAGGCCUGCAAUGUAGGCAGCCCCGCCACCACCAGGACGCCCAGCGCCACACAGCCCAGCGGCGCACACAGCACGCCCGCGCCUAGCUGCUCGCGGCUGCGCACCGGGCCCAGGGCGGGCACGCGGCACAGCAGGCCGCGGCUGGCGGCCUGUGUGGGGGACGGGGGGCGGGGGACGGGGGGCGGGGGUUACAGUCAUGGUUAGCUUAGGAAACGGUAGACGGUAGGCAAUCUUUGCGGAACAGCAAUAGUAUGGAGGACGGGGGGAGGGGGCGCCGGGGGCAGGGCAGGGAGGGGAGGGAGCACCGGAAUCAAAAGGAGGGCUGGUCGCUUGCAUGGCGGCAGCCAGUGAAUGCUAUGUGUCGCGACACAGGCGCCUGAGGCAGCAGCCGCGGCAUGGUGCCACGGCGUGGACACGUGCCCCCACAUAGGCGCCGCUCCUCACGCCUCGCGCCUCCCACCCAUCCACCUGGCCACCCACCCCGCCGCGCCACCCCGCCGCGCCACCGCUCCACCCCACGGCCCCACGCACCAUGUACAGCUGCACUGGCUCAGGCCUGGUCGUGACCACAUGACUGCCCAUGUCCAGGACCAGGGGCACACCGCAGCCGCCGCCACCGCCACCACCUAGGCCGCCGCCGCCUGCGCCGCCCGCCUUGUUGAGCUGCUCGUGCGCGGUGGCGCUGAGGAGCACCAUGCCGCCCUGCGCGCCGGCCGUGGAUGCAUCGCCGACAUGCACACCGACACCGCAUGCGUCAGAAAAGUAGAACGUAACGCCGACACUAUCAUACAACAACAACAGCAGGAGAGGCGCCAGUAGAAGGAGCGGCACCGCCGGUGGCAACACCGGUGGUAGUGAUUGGGGGUUCGCUGCUUGCGUUCCGGGCAGCCCCAUCGACCGCACAACCUCACCAACCGCGCUACCAUACCCAGCGACCGCAAAACCGGUUACCUGCACCCUCAGGACUCAGGGCCCCGGCCCCCCUCACCGACACCCCUGCGGCCCUGACACCUCACGGCUCUGGCACCCCUGGCACCCCUGACGUCGCCGGCCCCGUCAAGGCUGCUGGAGAAAGGCGCCCGCUCAUCGGGUCAGCAUGGAGUCUGUGCAACAUAGCGCCAUGUCAUGCCUGGCACCCUGGCCCGUUGCCCUUCGUGCAUUUGCUUUCGUAUUGGGACUGGUACAAACAAACCCCCCGCCCCUCGCGCACCUGCGCGGCGUCGCACACCACCUUGGCGAACUGCAGUGCCGUACCGCUGUACUGCGUGCGGCCCGCCACCCGGUUGUACGACACCUCGGUCGGCUCCACACCCGCGUGCACGCUGCGAGGACAGAUGGGAGUUGCGUGUGAAGGACAGCAUACGGUGGAUGUGUGUAUGCGCGCAGUGCGUCCGUGUGUGCAGGUAAAACAAGGAAAGUGGGCGCUUGACAACGAGGCCCAACCCUCUACACGACGCAUGCACAGUGGACGUGACGGCAACUGCCCAGCACACACAACCCAAUCAGCACGCCGGGUUGCUUACCCCAUGCGCACUUGGAGCCCGCAGAACAUCAGGAUUGCGCCCGCCGGCAGAGCCUGCUGCUGCUGCUGCUGCUGCUGCUGGGACCAGCCCUCUGUCUCCGCUGCGCCGCCAGCUGCCUGCCUGCCCUGCGGCGAGGGCACGGGCGUGGAGGCAGCCAGAGCGCUGCGCUGUGAGGCCACCGUGUUCCCGCUGUGCGGCGAGAGCUGCUGCUGCGACUGCAGCUGCUGCGACCCCUGUCGCGACUGUUGCUGCUGCGGCUGCUGCUGCUGCGGCUGCUGCUGCUGCGGCUGCUGCUGCUGCGGCUGUAGCACCUUGUAGAUUUGGCCGUAGUACUCGGCCAGGGUCAUGCUGCGGCCGGGGCCCAUGGCGGCGGUGGCGGCUGCGGUGGCGGCGGCGCCCAGGCUCGCGACACUGAAGGGCUGUAGCGCAUAGCUGCUGGUGCUGCGGGGAGGUCGAGAGGGAGAGCAGGGGUCGCAGCAGGGGUUAGAGCACGGGGCGGGGUGGGUUUCCUGUCACGACUAGUUGGGCGAUGAGUGGUUUUUACAGAGCCUAGUGAGCGAGGUGCAACUGCCGCGGGUUGGGGCCAAGUCAGGAGGGCCGUGGCAGGGCAAGACAGGACGGGACAGAGCGGGUCACGACGGGACGGUCCAGCCAGAGUGUUAAAACGGAAGCCGUUGCACUGGACAGGCGCGCAAGCCCGCGAAUAAGCCUACCGUCCCAGCUCCCGCCGCCAGCCCACAGCGGACCGCUCGGCCCGCACCCCGACCCGUCAGCUGCUACCCAGCCCCCCACUCACUCCAGGGUCUCAGUCAUGACUGGGCCGCUCGGCAGCAGCCCUGCAGCCCAGCCGCCGCCGCCGCCGCCGCCCAGGCCCACCGCCUCUUGCACCUGUGUGGAGCUGCGCCGGAAGGUCAUGGGCAGCAGCCCGCCGCCGCCACCCGGUGUGCCGCUGGCCCGAGACACGUACGCCGCGCCUCCCACACUGGUCGGCGAUGCGCCAGCAGGCUCCUGCAGGUCCGACCCCAGUUCCAUGGUGCCCAUGACACCGCCGCCGCCGCCGCCGCCGCCGGCCUGCCCGGUCACGAGCGCAAAGGCGGCGCUCAUAGCGCAGCUGCCUGUGGCGCCGUCAAAGGCGCCCAUGUUGGCGGUGGUCAGGACCAGCUGGUCCGCAGUGCCGCCGCGGUCGUAGCCACCGCCGCUGCCGCCGCCGUAAACUGAGCCGUAGCCCGCGGCAGCGCUGUAGCCUACGCUGUAGCCUGCGGCUGGGAAGCGCAGCAGGUCGGACUCCGCGCGCUGCAUCCCUGCCUGCGCGUGAGACAGCGAGACAGCUCCAGUGGUCGCCGCAGCACCGCUUGCUGCUGCUGCUGCUGGCGCUGCGGUGGAGUCGAAAACCGACAGCGCCGCAGUGCGUGUGCUGGCGCCAGCGCCCGCAUCGGCAAGGGCAUGGGGCUCCGGCGGGCAGGCGGCGCCCUGGAGCGUCAGCGGCGUUGGGCUGGGGCCGGUGAUGGCGUUGGCCUGGGAGGGCGAAGUGGCAGGGGAGUAUGUGUGCAGCCCGGCGCCGUCACCACUGCCGUCCGGCCGCGUCUCCGCACGUGACAAGGCGCUCAAGACGGCGCCGCCGUGUGUGUCUUCAUACGGCGGAAGCGGCAGGCGCGAGUUCAUGUCCAUGGAACCCGAUGCCGACGUGCCACGCACCGUAUUGGACACCGCACAGGCAGUGGUUGCAGCGGCGGCUUCGGCGGCAGCUGUAGCAGCACCGCCACCAGCAGCCGCCGCCACAGACACGGCGCCGCUGCCGUACAUGGCACCGCUGGUGCUGGCGGAGGGGGCCGCCGCCAUGCCCAUUGAGAGGGACGGCGGCAUCUCACCCGCCAUACUGCCCCGCGCCGCCGCCGCCCCAGCCGCCGGAUGGAAGCCCAAAGGCCGCACCGCGACGCGGGCGAUGGUGGCGGCGGCAAGGAGCGACGUGGUGGCGGCGGCGGCGGCGGCGGCGCCGUCGUCGUCGGCUGCAAUCAUGGCGGCGUCGGUGACCCGAGGGCUUGGGUCCAGAGACAUCAUACCGAGCUCAUCGAGCGGGGUGUCGCUGCCGGUGCCGCCGGACGCGCCGCCACCAGACACCACGAAGCUAGUGGCCGUGACGCCGCCACGGCCGCCGCCGCCGCGGGCGUCGGUGAUGGCUGCGGCCGCGGCGGCAGAACCGGCGGGGACGCAGUCGCUGGGGCGCUGCGGCACGGGUAUGGGACUUGCGGCACUCGUCGAGGCGGCUGCCGCGCCCGCCUGUUCCUCACCUGUGGAGGACAUAAUCUCAUCCAGCCCGGACGGCUCUGGUGACAGCCCCGCCGCUCGGCCAGGCGACCAGGUGCCCAGGCCGACGGCGCCCGGGCCCGACACCAGGCCCGCCACGGUGGCUGCGCCGGCAAGACUCGCAGCCUGGUACUCGCCGACGUCACCGCUGCCGCCGGCGGCGCGCUGCAGCAUCGCGUGGCUGCGGCGGCUGUUGCUGGCGCUGCUCAGACCAGACACGGUCCGGAUCAAGUGCCGCAGACCAGACACGGCGCCGCCGGACACCGGACCACCCGCCACCGCUGCUUCGCUUCUGAAUCGAACCGGCGAGUCCGGCCCGCCACCGCCGCCAACCGUAGCGGCUGUCGUGACGCCGCUGCUGCGGAAGGUGACAGCGCUGCCGCUGUUCGUGCGCGGCGUGUUGUUGAUGUAGUUCAGUCGAGAACCCUGACGCGGCGCCGGGCGCCGGCUGCUGCCGCCGCUGGCGAGGCUCUGCUGGCGGAUUUGCAGCUGCACCUGCGACUGCAGCUGUGACUGCGAGUGCGAGAGGACGUGCGGCGGCGACACAUCGGUUGCAGCCGCCGCCCAUGAAGACGGGUUAGUGCUGCGCGACAGCAGCGGCAGGGGGUGCUGCGGCGCCGAGCUGGUAGACGAAAGACCGACGCCAUGCUGAAUGGUCUGCAGCAGCCUGCGCCCGGGCUGACUGGGGCUGGUCCCAGCACGGGAGGCCGCGCCGCCGCUUCCGCCUCGUGACAGCAGCGCCGUCACGCUGCCGGCGCUCCGCAUGAUGGCGUUCAACACACCGCCGCCGGGACUGUUCGGGUCGCCCGCCGCAGCCGGCCCAGUCGGCGCAUUCGCGGUCAUCCCCGCCGCCGCCGCGAAGGCGCUGAUGACGCCGCUAGAGCCGGCGCGCUGGCUGCGGGCGCUGUGUGGCUGGUCCGGCAUUCCGGUGCUGCUGCCGGGCCGCAUGGCCGCCUGCAGCCGCCGCAGCGAGGUGCUGACGGCCGCCGCCGCCGGCUGGAACCACCGCGAUGUCGGCGACCCCGCAGCCGCCGCCGGCGGGCGCUGCAUCUGCAUCUGCUGCUGCUGGUACAGCAGGAGGUGCUGGUGCUGCUGCUGGGCCUGCAGCGCGAAUAGCGGCGACGGCAACGAUACACCGCCGCCACCACCGCCGCCGCCGCCACUGGCGCCGCCAGCCGCACCGCCCUCGGCGCCCAUCACCGACGGCGGCGCCUGCAGCUCGGACACCACCAGCCCUGUCAGCAUGCCUGCGGUGGCGCCGCCCGUGCCGCCGUCCUGGAUGCCCGUGCCUGGACUGGCGCCGCCUCCUCUAUACAAUGAGACCGAGGCCCCCGCAGCCGCCGCCACCGCAGCGCUACCGACGCCCGCCAACGUCACCGCACCGCCCAGAACAUCGCCAGCGGGUGAGGUGCUGGUGCCCGCCACGCCCGCGGUACUGCCCAGCCGCACGCGCCCGCCAAGGCUCAGAGCACCACCGGCGCCGCUGCCACCUGCCCCACUGAGCGCCGAAGCCUGUGACCCCAGCUGCGCCAGCGGCCCAAACAGAGUUCCGCUGUGCCGCCCGAAGCUGAGGUUCGGCUCGGUUGCUGCGGGGACGGAGGGGGCGGCGGGGGCGGCAGCGGCGCCGCCGCCCAGCGGAAGGCGCGGCGGCCGCAGCCCGCCGCGCACCACGCCGCGGCCGCGUUCGGGCGGCGUGGGCGCCAGGGAGCGGGCCACUGCGUACACGGGCCGGCACAGCUCCUGCUGCAGCAGCUCAGCAGGCCAGGUGCAGGCCUGCGUGCGGGGUGGGGCGUCCAGGCGCGGCUAAUUAGGGCGGGUCAGGCGAGCAAGCGGGCAGGUGGGCGUGUGGCGCAUGGCAGCAGUGGCUACCAGCAAGCCAUGAACAAUUACAAGUACGCACCAAGGCUACGGACUGCAGAACUGUGUAACAGGCAUGCCCAACAUGCUUGCAGGUACACACACACACACACACACACACACACACACACACACACACACACACACACACACACACACACACACACACACACACACACACACACACACACACACACACACACACACACACACACACACACACACACACACACACACACACACACACACACACACAUGCACACACACAUACAAACACACACGCGGCAGCCACGCAUUCUAGCUGCUACGCACCAGCAGCGCCGCCUGCGCCCGCAGGCAGAAAGCCACGGCGUCCGCGGGUCCGUAGAAGGACAGGAUGAACGAGUCCUGGUGGGUGGAGGCAGGGUGGGAGGUGCGGGCGUGACUGGUUAGGCGACGGCGAGGGGCAGGGGCGCGUUGAGGUGGUUGCAACAGAGGCCGGCAGGUGGACACGUAUCACGCGAAGGUAGCAUGCGAAGCUGGCAAUGCGCAGGCCCGCAAGCACUCCAGCGGCGGAACCUCGGCGCACUCACCCCCUCGGUGGCCGACUGUUGUAGUUGUGGUUGCGUGCGACAUAUGAAGUGCCAUAAAAUGGGGCCCAAGCAGUGGUAGGCAAGGGGAAGUGGUGGAGGGCAGCAGGUCAGGCGGUGGUCGUGGGAGGGCAGCUGCAUGGGUUGUUCGCUCGCACGGCUGGCCGCUAUGCCCUCACCGCCACUCGGUUUGAUAACACCUGACUUGGCACCCCCUUGCCGCUCCAAAUCCCAUCCGCUGCAAGUUGCACCCGUUCUGCGCUCCCUCCUUACCUCGUAUCCCCCAGUCUCCUUGAGCAGCUGCCUCAGCGUGUCGUGGUGCAGCUGCACCGCCCGCGCCAUGGCCAGCUGCUGCACCGACUCCCACAGCCGCGUGCUGUCCACAAUGUCCUGCGUGGGCACGUGCGCGUGCAUGUGGGUGUGCGUGUGUGUGUGCGUGGGCGCGUGCGUGUGGGUGUGCGUGUGCGUGUGUGCUUGUGUUGAAGAGCACAAGGAAAGGAAUACACAACGUGUGUGUGCAUGCGCACGCAUGCAUGCGUGUAUGCGUUUGUGCAAGAAAAUCACAGGGGAAAGGGUGUGGGGAAAGUGUGUCUGUGUGCUGCCGGCGGCAGCUGUGCCAUGCGGUGCGAUGCGCUCACCGUGACCACCAGGCACGUGGCGGGCGAGGCGCCCGGCGCCACCAUCCGGCCGAAUAGCGUGCGGUGACGCGCCGCCUGCCGCCGCCGGUACCAGGCGUAGCCGCCCAGCGCCGCCGCCAGACACAGCGCGGCGCCCACCGCACUGACCACCGCGGCGAUGGUGAUGCGCUGGCCGUCGCUGAUGCCGCCGUGCGAGGGCGGCGGCGCGGCGGCGACGGCGGGCGGCGUGUAGUUGAGCGUGCGCCAGUAGAUGCGCUGCGUCUGUGGGUGGGAACCAGGGAGGGCAUGAGGGAGGCGAGGCGGAGAGGGUAGGUGGUUAUAGAUACUCGGGAUUGUUUCAGCGAGCAUGCCCUAUCAUGCCGUAGUGCGAGAUCUGUGCCCUAUGAACCGAGAUGGUGCGGGAACGCGCACACACGCAUUGCCACCAACAAAUGGUGCAGACAUGCAUGCACUACCGCUGUGUUUCCAACCGCCUAGCGCCGCAGCACGGCCCGCACGCACCUGCUCCAGUGGCCCCGCUGCGUCCAGCGCCGCCCGCAGCCUCGUGGCCAAUCCAGCCGCCGCCACCUGCACCGCCGCCGCCAGUUCGGGGCCGCCCGUGCCCGCCACCAGGGCCGACCCCGGCGCCGCCGCCAGGCCGCCACUGGGGGUGCCCAGCCCCACCACCUGCACCACACCACACAGUAACAGCUACGGUAUUGAUGUCGGCGUUGGGAGUAAGUGAUGGCUAAUCCCAGGCCAGGGCCUCCGGCCUUAUACCGGUAGCAAACCAGGAGGUGCGACCGCGGCUGCCGCUGCCCCUGCCCCUGCGCCGUAAGGCGACCCCUCACACACCUGCGUCGCCGCCCACUGCAGCGCGUCACGUAGCCCCGCGGCACCCGGCAUGCGCAGCAGCAGCGCCACGUUGGGGUGCUCGAUGGUGGUGCGCCAGGCACCCAGGAAGUCCUGGACGCAGGGGAGGACCGACAACGUCGAGCAGCCAAAACGACUGCCUCUCCCUCGGGUGACAGAAAUUCACACACUUGCGGCCACCGCACACAUCUGAUCACCACGGCCGCCGUCUAGCCACGCCCUUGCAGUAGCAGCACCCGGAUACACACACCCGCUGCUUAGCGCCCUUCCCUGAGGCCCCUUUCCUCUCCACCCCUCCCCUCCCUGUCCCCAGUCGCACCGUCAGGUCUGUGUUGUCGUACCCGCCCGCCCGCCAGCGGCCCAUGCUGGCUGGAUCCAGGUGCUGCAGGCGGAAGGGGCCGAUGGCGCUGGUGGGGUCCAGCAGCUGAGCCCACGAAACGUUGGGGGAGGACAGCUGCGAGGACAGGGAAGCAGGGGCAGGGGAGCAAGGAGAGGUGUGGUGCGAGGGGCAGCAGCCGAAGCACGUUGCAAAGUGGGUGACAAAACCGGCGUUCGAGAUAGGGAUGGGAAGUUGCGGGCGCGCGAGGAGGUUAGCAGGUUCCAGCAGAGGCAAAACGCCAGUCUGUGACUGUGCUUCGGCCUCAAGCCGGACAGACGCGCCAUACGCCAUCACUACCACCCUGCUGCCCCUCCACCGCACCUGCGUGAAGAACUUGAAGGCGGCAGUGCGGUAGUUGGAGGGCGUGCGCACGUCCACCGCUCCCACCAGUGCCGACAUGCCCACGAAGGGCGCGCGGUUCACGCGCACACUGCCAGCGCCACUGCUGUUGCUGCUGCUGCCGUUGCCGCUGGCAACAACGUUGUCAGUGCCGUUGAGCAGCUGCGGCAGCUGCAGUGCUGGCACGGUGUCUGCGAAGGGGCAGGCGGCGGCGGCGCUGUCACAGGUGAUCCAGGCUCCCGCCUCGCGGUCCCACACCACCUGCGACCCGGGCAGCGCCGCCACGCCCACGUUCCCCCGCAGGCGCGGGAACCGGAGCUGUGCCACCUGCAAGCGACCCAACAGCGGAGACACAGCAGCAGAAGGGGCGACAUCAGCAGCAAUAGAAAAUCAGCCAGUAGUCCGCAACCACACAUACAUGCCAAACGUUAUUAUUGUAAAACAUGGAUACGUCGUCGCGGCGGUUACGAUGUGGAGCACCGCAGCAGGCUGCGCGCUACAUUACACAGUAUUGCACUUGUCCACUCCAUAGCAGCAGGCAUAAGCGCGUGACUUGGCGUGGCAUUGUGAACACACACACGCAUACAAAUACACGCACAGAAACACACGCGCACCUUGAACUGCGUCGGCCAGUUGAUGCUCAUGGCGCAGCUGCCGGCGAAGAAGCGCACGUGCGCCAGGGCGCAGGUGCUGCCGUCGGCGUAGGCGGGGCCGGCGGUGCCGGGCGCCGCCUCCAAUCCGCCCAUGAGCCCCAGCAGCUGUAGGGCGGCGUGCAGCGGCGGCCCGGCGGCCAGCGGCGACAGCGAGUCGGGCGACAGCAGCCAGCCGCUGGAGGAGCCCUGCGGGAGGCGGGUGUGCAGGCAAGUGGCAGGUACAGGCAUGGGGCCGGGGUAGCGGUGCUGCUGUUUGGUCAUGCAUUCGCAACUCCGCAUGCGCAUGCGCACACAACCGCCACAUGCAUCGACGUGCGGCCCAUUGCCCCUCCCUAGCCAUCUGCACCACCGCGUUCGCCGCCACCACGCCACAUCCAUGCUCCCCACGCCCACGCCCACGCCCACGCCCACGCCCGCGCCCACACCCCACGCCCACGCCCACCGUGUGCUGUAUGAGCGAGGCCAGCAGCGCCCCCAGCAGCACGCCCACGUCGCUGCAGCCGGGGCUGCUCCAGCACAGCGCGGGGUCGGGCUGGCCGUCGCCGUUCAGGUCGGUGCCGUGCAGCCGCCGGCCCACGUCCAGCAGCUCGCUCCAGGUGGCGGGCGGCCGUGUCAGGUUGAGCCGCGCCGCGAAGAUGUCACGACGCCUGGCGGGUGCGGGCGCGGGGUGCGGGGUAGGUGCGGGGUGCGGGUGCGGGUUCCAGGGAUGACUAAUUGGAUGAUGGAGGGAAGCCGGGGUUGGGGUCAGGGCUGGGGCUGGGGUUGGGGUUCGGCGCCGUGUUGUGUGGCCGUGGCGUGCGGGUCAGGGAGGAGGGGGACAGAGGGAGGGAGGGCUGCUAGGUGGGGCACCAGACUCCCAUACACACAACACAGCUUCUACCACACUGCCUCAUACGCUGGUAGCUUUACACGUACGGCCGCGCACCUGCAAGGCCACGGCCAGGCCUACGAUGCACGCCCUCUCCCGCCACCCUCUCUACCACCCUCUCCACGCCCUCUCCCCACUUUCCCCACGCCCUCUCCACCGCCCUCUCCCUCCCCUCCCUCGCUCCACACCCCCACCCACCAGUAUAGCAGCGGCAUGAAGCCGCUGACCACCACCCCGGUGCGGUUGCCCAGGUAGGAGGCCGCGUGGGUGCGGUAGAAGGGGUGCACGUCCUCAUCGGCUGUGCCCGCCCGCUCCGCAGCCGCCCGCAGCUCCGCCACCUCAGCCUCCACAUCGCCCCCAGCAUUAUCCACACCGCCACUGACACUGCUGCCGGAGCCCGCUGUGCUGUUUGCAGCCAUCGCUGCAGCGACACUUGCAUUCGCCGGUGCUGCUGAGGUGACCGCCGAAGCGUUAGCGGAGGCGUUGGCCGCUCGCGCCGCCUCCUUGGCAGCGGCUGCUGCCAGCAGCUCCGCCUGCUCCGUCGCCGCCGCCGCCACCAGCUCGUCCAGCAGCGCCACGGCGUGUGCCCGCAUGGCGCCCUCGGCGGACUGCACGUCCAGGAUCCAGGCGUCGUACAACGACACUGCAGGGUGCAGGUGACGGGCAGGUGAGGGCCUGGUGAGGGGCUGGUGAGGGUCUCGGGGAGAUGAACAUGAGGGAGUUGCGAGGGGAUGAAAGCGGCGGGGACUGGUGAAAGGAAGCCGGAGCGCUGGAGGCUCAGUUGCCGACCGUCAACCAACGUGCUUCGGGCCUCCUGGACCCGCCCAUGCACGUGCGGCUAGACCCCUUCAGAGUGGCAGGCAGCCCCCGCGCGCAGCGCGUAUACCCCCACUCGCAUCCCUCCCGCCUCACACCCGCACAGUCCUAGUGCACGCGGCCCUGCCGCACCCAUGCUCCAAGCCCCCCACCCAGCGUGCCCUUCCACACCCCUGCACAACACACACACACGCACACGCGCACACGCUCUCUCUCUUUCGCUGGCGGCCCACCGUUAGUCUGCAGCUGGAAGUCCACCUCCUCGGCGAUGCGGCUGAGCAGCAGGGAGCUGAACUCGGCUCUGAAGCCCGUCGCCCGCGUGAACACCUGCGCCUGGCUCGCCAAGAUGCCGUCGUUGGAGCUCGGCGUCAGGAAGCGGACCGCCUGCGAGAAGAAACGUGUGCAUGUGCGUUUGUGCUUGCGUGCAGGUGUGAAAUAUGAUGUGCUUUUACAGACGGGCGUGUGUGCGUGUGUGUGUGUGUGUGAGCACUGCAAGGUGGCUGCCACGACCAGGCAGCCGAAGGGCGGCGAGGCGGGCGUGGGGAAGCGCCACCGGAAGCGGCCAAGGGCGGGCACGCUUCGCGCGACUAGGCCCGUGACUAGAACCAACAACCAGUGGCUUGCUACGAGUGCCGUGGCGACAAGCUACCCGCGGAGGCCACCUGAGCAAGCUGCCGUUAGCAUGUGUGUCUUGUGUGUGCCGUGACGUGCUCCGCCGCAGCAAGGCAAACGUGACACUAGUGUGCUGGAUGGAGCCAGAACCUAAUCUCCUGCAAGACGCGCCGGAGCUACACGCAUUGCUUAUCACAAUGGUGUACGGGUGUGCCAUCCCGCCUCACACCCACGAAAACUGGGGGUUCCCGUGCAAGCGUCCGUUCGACGGCUUGAGUGAGAGCAGGCACGUUGCCCGCGCGGCCUUGUCUGCCUCCCAUGUCCCUGAACUAGUGCGCCCCCAGUAAUCUUACCCUGAGGACGUUCUGCACCCCCAAGCAUGCGCUGGUGAAGCUGCUGACUGCUGAACCGAUUUCCGCGGAGGCAUUCACCGCUGGUACAGCCAAGCCCGCCGUAGCAAAAGCCUCAAGGACAUUCUUCACAAGCACCGCUGUACAUUGCGAGGCGUCAUUAAAAUUGCACUCUCCUGCGACGUGCUCGCCUCGCAGCACCACCAGCGACAAGGCCAGGAGCCCGAGAAAUAUCCACCUCAUCCUUGCUCUAUGUUAAGCUUUCUAAUCGGCAAAACGCUGGCCGCUUUGCGGCCGCGACUCUUGUCACCAUGUAGUCUAUCUUGCUGUAGUCAAGUGUAUGGUAUGUGUAUAUAAUGGCAGGAGUGGGCGACAAAGGAAUAGAUUGUUCAGUCAGCAAACUCAGCUACUCAGCGCAGCUUGCCCCUGUUCUCAGGGAUGACUACACGCUCAACAACGAGGUUGCAGCUUGAAUUGUUACGUAAGGCGCGUAAUUUUUAAUAGUCCUGAUGUCACGCAUACGCGAGGACCAACGAGCCGGUGAACCAGGGGUCCACUCGGCCCGACUACGCUACAAAGCCACCAGCUCUCAAGGCCGUAGGUUAAGUCUGGCGUCUCCAAGCACAAGGGACCGGAAUAUGUGCGCUGAUGUGUGCUCGUGUGUUGAAGCUGGCACGUGGCGCUCGUCACCUGACCUGAGUGCGGAGAAGAGCGCAACUGCACCCAGCUGCACCCCUGCUGGAGGGUGCUGGCAGGGCCGGCCAGGCCUUGUCCACGUUUUCUUAAAUGGGAAGUCCCACACAGCCACACCGAAGGGUGAUCCACGUGUUUGCCGUCAUGUUGGACACAUGACAAGAGGGGACAACCUGAGGAUGUAAGCACACAGACACCUGCACACAGACACCUGCACACAGACACCUGCACACAGACACCUGCACGGUAAGCACAGAGGCCAUUGCUGCCGAGCCCAACUAGGAUCCAUCGUGUCGCCCGCGAGCCAGCUAUGCCUUAUGCUCUGGAGUCCGAGUGCUGCACUGGAGUCCGCGGGCGCGCCUGGCGUCGCCCCUGCCGGGGCCGGCGUCGCCUCAAGAGGCGGCCGACCGGUUUGCUGCGGCGGUGGCCCUUCUCCCCGCUGGCUGGGCUGCCGCCGCGCUGCCGCUCCCGGCGGCCGACAUCGUGAGUGCUACGGCGGAGUCGGUGCAACAGGUGGUGCGGGGGCUUGGAUGGUUGCAGUGCGGGGGCCGCCCAUCCUGCUCACUGUCUACACGGUGAAGGCGGGGACCGUGCUACAAAUGGCGCCACAGUAAGGCGGCGGCGGCGGCGGCGACGGCGGCAGCGGCAGCGGCGGCGGCGGCGGCAGCAGCGGGGGCGCGUGCGCGCAUCUUGGUAGCGGAGGGGGCGGGAAAGGGCAUGUGGAGGAGGAGAGCGCAGCGCCGCCCAAGAAGCGGCGCAAGCGCGCAGGCUGAGAAGCCGGCUGGUGCCUAGGUAGCGGUCCGCGGUGGGGCUGGCAGGGCAUGCGUAGCGGCACAAGUAGUGCGGCUGUUGACAACUGUGUUACGUCUGGCUGCGGUUAGCUCUGCUGUGGCAUCGCGAUUGCUACGCACCUGGUUUGGCUAUGUGCCUGUGGAAACCGACCCCGGCUAUGUCCGGGCGAUGAGGUUGUUCGGCCUCAGACUGUGGAGGGGCUCAGCCCCUUUUCCCGUGACCGGGGAACACUUGUCACUAGUUUCGUUAAGCACGUCAAUCCAUCCACCCCGCCGGGUGUCGCUGCACACCCUCCCAGUCGAAGCUGUCAUGCAUGUGAGCUGAGCGUUUGACAGACUAACUGCAUUGAUGAGGCAUGAGCAGGUGUCGGCAUGAAUUUACAAGCCAUCAUGCAAAAGCAACUUGGCUGCAGACAAAAGCAGCUAUGGAUGGUCAAUUUCUCGUCGGGAACGUAUCUGUCUCAACUGCCGCCCAUGUCCAUCGUGAGAAACUAAAUUCAGGAUUGGCAUAGUUUCAGAAAUCAGCAAUCAUGUUAUACAGCCCUCGAAUCCGGGCGUGAGUGCAUACACUAUAUCUCCCACUUGCAGCUGACCGAUCCCAUGCCAUAGCAUACGGUAUCCUGAUUAAACAAGCACAUACACGGUGUCCCUUACCCGCGCUCAGGUGCUCUAACGCUCUCUUAGUGCUGACACUGUCUGCGGCCUGGCAUAGCGCAGGGCCUGCAAUCUUGCUCUCAUUUAUAUGCGAGCAACGCACCGCUGAUUCAGGAUGGCACAUUUGACCCCGUGGCACGCUACCUCAUGCAAUGACUACAUCCUACAAGACAUGGACGGCUAGCUAUGAACGCACUCGCUACCAGCGCAUAGAACCUCACGGGAAUCUAGCUUCCCGGCCCAAGCCUGCACGCUACAUGCUGCUAUUACCGCCACCAACCCACGCAUCACCCGCUACCUCAGCUACUGUUGACAUCCCUAUUGCUGCCUCCGCCUCCUGCCGCCUCCGCCUCCUACAGCAGCCAGCUUACGUCUUGCGGGUGCCGCUGCUGGUGCGCGCAGCCAUCUCGCGCGAGCCGUCCAUCAGCAUCUCCAGGUUCUCGCCGUACUCCAUCAGCUUGCCGCUCACGUCAAUAGUCUUCACACGCAGCUUGCGCAGCGCCUUGGCCUCAAUCUGACGGAUGCGCUCGCGUGUUACGUUCAGCGCCUCUCCAAUCUCCUCCAGCGUCCACUCCUUGCCGUCGUCCAGCCCGAAGCGCAGCCGCACCACGCGCGCCUCGCGCUCCGGCAGCUCCAACAACAUCGCCUCCAUGUCGUUGCGCAGACUGUCGCUGCCAAACUCCUCGUCCGCCGCCUCGCGCUCGUCCUCCACGGAGUCCUUCACGGUCGGGCCCAGCUCGUUGCCGCCGAUGGGCGUGUCCAGGGACGCGGCGGAGCGCGCCGUCUCCAUGAGCAUCUGAACGCGCGUCACAGGCAGACCAGCCGCCUUGGCCAGCUCGGGCAGCGUGGGCUCUCGCGCCAGCUGCGUCUGCAGCUUGGCGGACAGGUUCUUGAGCCGCGUCAGCUGCUCGAUCAUGUGCAUGGGCAGCCUAUAGGGCACAGUGGGACGGACGUUGCACGACGCAACGUGAGGAACGAGCGCAGGCCAUGAAGGUUGCACAAAGCAAGUGUGCACGCAACUUCAAGCCAGCGCCAGCGCAGUGUACCUCGAAAAUGGCCGACCCACAUUGAUCGCCUGCCAGAGUCAAGCCCCACCGCCCGCCAUACAUGCGGUACACAACAACGCACCUGACUGCGCGGCCCGUCUCCGCCAGCGAGCGCGACACGGCCUGGCGGAUCCACCAGUGCGCGUACGUGCCGAAGCGGAAGCCCUUGGUGGCGUCGUACUUUUCCACGCCCUUGAGCAGGCCCUUGACGCCCUCCGACACCAGGUCCUGGAUGUGCGGGCCCUUGCCCACAAACGACUUGCACACCGUCAUGACCAGCUUGUAGUUGGACUUGAGCAGCAGCUCCUUGGCCUUCAGACCGGCGUCAUAGCGGAGCUUCAGGCUCCUGAGGGAAGGCGCGACGACAGCAGAGUUAGUGAGGAGGUCAGGAGCUGGGGAUGUGAAAGCAAAGAAAAGCGGGGUACGGGGAUACCAGGUAAGGAGCUGAUGUGCCCCACCCCGCCUACCACACCCAAGAGCCGAAACCAACCCCGCCCCACUGCGCCACUCACUCGACAUCCAUGGCCACGGCCGCCGCAAUCUCCUCAGACGUGGCGGGCCGGUGCAGCGUCUUCUCGCACUGCCGCUUCACCUUCUCCAGGAACAGGAAGUCGCGGCAAACUGCCGUCACCUCGCGUUCCUUCUCCACGUCCAGCGUUGACAAUGACUCCACCUUGCCCAGGAAGUUCAUGGUCCCGUCCUUGCUGCCCACCUUGCCCCGCCCCGCCGCGUUAGCUGUCGCGCCACCCAGCCGCCCGCUAGCGUGACCGUUGCGCGCCGCGCGCCGGGAGGCGCGCGCCUUGGCGCUGCGGCCUGGCGCCGCGGAUGCUGGGACCAGGCUAAGCAGCGACGGCCCCGUCUGCAUGAUGGACAGCUGGCUGGACGUCCGAGUCGCCAUUGCCGACGCCUCCAAAGAGCCGGGCCCCGCCACCGCGUCCUCCUCGUUGUCCUCCAGCUGCUGCUGCUCAUCCUCCUCGUCUUCCUCGUCUAGCACAGGCAGCCGUGACGACUUGCGCGACACCUCCUGCUCCAGCGCCAGCAGGUCGUCCUCAGACGGCCCCGCGAAGCUGUCCUCGUCCUCAGACUCAGCCGCCUCCCGUGACGUGGUGGGCCCCAGUAACCGCUCCAGCUCAUCCGCGAGGGAGCCGGGCGCGGGCGCAAUGCGCGCGCUGGUGCUGGGCGUGCUGGGGAGCGUGGGUGCCGGCGAGGGUGCUGCCGUCACCGCCGCGGAGGGUGCCGCAGAGGGCUUCUUUGGUGUGAGCUUGCGUGGCCGCAGCACCGCAGGCGCUGCUGAAGCGGAGGCCCGGGGGAUGUCGGGCUCGCCGACGCUGAGUUUGAAGAGGUCCUCCAGGUGCUGCACGUCGGAGCUGCUGGCGCCAGCAGGGGGUGCAGACGUCGUUGCCGGGAUCGGCCGCGUGUCAAAGCCGCCAACAAAGCUCACCAGGUCUAGCAAACCACUAUCGCUGGAGCUGCUGCUCGCUGUUGACGUGGCCGGCGCAGCAGCAGCCUUCGUCGGCGUGGAAUGCGAGACCACUGCUGACAUUGCCGGCCCAGCCGCGGCCGCGACUGUUGCGGAUGUCGCCUGGGCCCUACGCUCUGCACGCUUGGCAGCGCGCCGUGCUUGUCGCGCAGCCCGCUCCUUGGGGUCGUCCACCGUGGGCGGCGCCUGUGUUGCAACAUAACGGUCGCGAUAUGGGGUUCUGUCAUAUGAAGCCCAAAGCUUAAAUUCUAAUAUCUGCAUGGCGUAACUGAGCCAUUUGCCGAAACAGCUACCCACCAGAACGCUCUCGUCGAGGCUGGCCUCCAGCGCGUUGAGCUGGUCCAGCAGCAAUUCCAGGUCAGAGGCCUGGCCCUUGAGCCGGUCCAGCAUCUGAGUCGCCUGAGCAUACUCCAUGAAGUUGAGAUUGCGCUCGCCUGGCCGGCUAUCCAGCAGCUCUGGCACCGCAGACUUGGUGGUGGGUCGCGUGGGCGCAGCCACCGCGCGCGCAACCACAGCCGACCGCGGUGUAGUAGAGCAGCGGGUUGUAAGGUUCAUUGUGGAGCCUGGAAGCGCCAUGUUUGCUGGUGUGAGAAAGCGCAAGUCGGUGGCGACCACAAUUUCCGGCUGAAGAAGAAGCCUAAGCAAAUGUGUCCUAUCGCACAGUCAGGGCGUCUUCUACAAUUGCCCACGACUGAUACGCAACUAAAGGAACGAAACGCGGUCGCGUGAGGGCAGACGAAGACCUGGCCCCUGCAUGAGGGGGAAGGUCGGCGAUGGAUUUUCUCCAUAAAAGGCCAAGGCCGCAUUAAAACUGGAAGGGCCCGUGCACAGUAAAGAAGUUUAAAGUCCACAACGUCAGCUGGGGCGACCGCCGCCGAAAUGGGCGAUGCAAGCGGCGACACAACUUCUUCCCAAUACGGCCCGACACCCCGUGUGACAUAUUAUGCCAUCUAUGUUGUCGCAAUACGUCUGCGUUCCGCUCGGCCAGACGACCAGCGUGGCGUGCCGUUGCCCGUGUGCGGCUUGCGGCGACCUCCGCACCCAGCCGCAAGCAGGCGCAACAAGAAGCCCAUCUCGUGGCACCGCUCGCGCUCCUUCAGGGACAUGCGCUUAAAGCCCGUGUAGCACGCGCAGCAUACGACGCGAGCGGUGUAGUGCCAAGUACUUGGGGCCGCUCCGUGGACCGCGCUUCCUCCUCUCGCCUCGUCUCGCACAUGGGGCUCUGCGCUGGCGCUGGCGCCAUCCUCGGACCCCUCAGCCUCCCGACGUUGCGCUCUUAGCAGCGUGCAUGACGUAGCUGUAUCGCCCGCCACAGAGCCAGCUGCCCAGCCGGGCUAAUUGUCAGGGUAUUUGGGGAAGGUGCAGAAGGCCCGUUUGGCGCGGGCGGCGCUCGUGCGUGUCCAGCAGCGCGACGUGCAGGCUGGCGAUGUAGCCGCGCCGCCGGCGCACGCGUGUCAGAAGCGUGUGUGCCCACCUAGCCGGCAGAGGCCGAGAUGAUGGCCGGGGCGGGCGCGUCCAGCAGCUCCCGACCGUUGGCAGCAACGGCGUGUCUUGGCCAGGAACCGUGCUUUGGGCUAGGGGCUGCCGUCGAGCGCGGCAGCGCGCAAGGUCUCGCUCGACAAACGGCUAUCAUUACACACCUGUUGCACAGUGUGUAACCCGCCUGAUCCCUACAGUAGCUCCAGCAGUUCUCCUCGGACGUGUUCGCAUUUCUCCGCACUUCCAUGCCACCACUGCGGGAAAUGCUCAAAUGCUCAACACUCAUUUGCAUGUCGAUGGCGCACGCAGCGCACCGCCCAUGCGCAGUCUGCUGGAGUGCCGCGGUGCGUAUGCCGUACACAUGGCCUGGCCCAUGGUCAAUCAAUAUUUGCUGUUCGCCGUGCUAUUGGAACAAGGCAAGGGUUCACGCGGUGGUUUGAGCUGGCCGUUCUGGCGUUGCGGUUGCUAAGUUGCUUGCUCAAGUGAGUGCACCCCGGCCAGCUGUCGCCGUACGGACACAGGCCCCUGAUCGUCCAGGCAUGUCAAUUGCGUCCCCAAAAUCCAGGGGUGGUCUCGUCGGUGCAUCCAGGACGCCCCUGCACUGCACCUGCGCACCAGCCUCCUCACAAGCUGCACGUUCACUACCGCAGUAACCCCAAGUCCCACCAGGGCUCCUAUCUUAAUGUCUCCAGACAUUAAUUGGCCAUUUUGGCCGUUUCCUAGACAUUCCUCCCGGGGGCUAAUGUCUGGGGCGAGACUUUGUUGGCCCGGGUUUGGGGCGGGUUUUGUCUCAAUUCCUAUGGAGAAGCCCCCAAACCGCCAUGUGCCCAGACAAAAGACGGCGGCCACCCGGCCGUUUUUGUCUGGAGCUAGACAUUACCCCCAAAACAAGAUACGACCCCUGAGUCCCACCCAUUGCGUGCUAUUACGAUUGACUGUGCGGUCAACACGGCUGUCAUAUCGACCAUAAGGUCAACCUGCUGAUGCUGAGGGUCGCAUUGUGCACCCAUCUAGUGUUACAGCCCACCAUCGCCAGCGGACGGUGACUGCCCGACCGACUCGAGGCAUCCUAGGCUCUCAGCUCCGCUCUCUCGCCAUCGCCGCGCAUGCACUAAGUUCGUGUCUCGUUAUAUAUACACCUCACAUGCACCACCUCUGAAAGGUGCGUCUUUCUCUGAAGCCUGUCCCUAGCACACCCACGCUCGUGGUACCAACAAACUACCGUGUCCUCCGCUUCAGCCAUGCCCUUAUCCCGGCAACGAAACGCGAACAAUGCACACAUCAGCACGAUCUAUAUGCCACGACAGUGGAGCCGAAUCCCAUCCGGGCUCAACCCUUAUGCCGCGCAUGUGCUUCGUGACAAACUAUGAAUGUACAUCUCGAGGAGGCCCCGUGCUCUGACACCGAAAUGGGCCACGACACAGCACUUGACGCUCCCGAGCGGACGCAGCCCCCGCUGGCCGCACCAGCGCCAGCCUGCUUACUCCUCAUUAUCAUCAUCCCCUAACCAUCAUACCUGCACAUGUCUAUGCAAUGCAACGCUCUCACAAAAGCGCCCCACCACCCGACCCGCAUGACCUGCGCGGCAUUUGCCUGCCGCAGGUCCUGCCUGCAAUGCACGUUGCAACUGUUUCCGCAGAGGCGCCUGCUCAGUGGCUCAACCCUGGCAGCACUCCCAGAUUGAUGUGGUCCCGUCCCGUCGAUGCGACGCAUGUGUCCUGUCCUCAUGCCCACAGCCAACACGGUGUGUUGGAACGAGCAUAUGCAGCUAAUAUGCGCCGCAAUGCAGUGGCUAUGCUACACCGUGCAGCUCGGCAACUCACACAGAACACGCAACACACGAAAAGUACAUGACACACGCACAGUGCUGUGGCCCUCACAUGCUCCGACACAGCGGCGGCGCAACAGACCAGACCACCCUCCGUUUGCAGGCCACCACGAUUUGACAAACCAACUAAAAGUCUACAUAGUAAGGUCUUCUCUGGGUAACAAAUUUUACUACUCUCACACUCAUGUGCAGCCUCAGUGUCGCAAAGCUGGCGGUAAAACGUCAGUCGCCUAAACCCGACAAUGAAGGGAAGCAGCGUUCGGCCAUCGCACGUGACGCCACACUGGCCCGCAAAUGCUGAAGCCACGCCGCCCUUGCCUUCCGGUUUCAGCAAGCACGUGUCCGUGACCUCCCAAAAGCUGAAUUCGCAAUCCGCCUCCCGCCUAAAACCGUUGUUAAGCCUGCCCGGCCAGCUCUCGUUCGCCCUCCGUAUCACCGUCCCUUGCCGUCUCUGCCCGCUGGCUGCUGCGUGGGGGGCGGCUGGUAGCUGAACUUGAGGGCAUCCGCAUUCGCCCAGUCAGGGUGCGCAUCCUUGAGGGAGCUCACGUCCAAGAGCGCCAGCUCGCCAGCGUCCCCGCUCUCACACCUCCGCAGCGUAUAUCUAGCCACCGGCGAAGCGGUACGAGUGCUGCUCGAACCCGCCUUUGUGACGCUUGCAAAUACGUAGUCCUGUAGUUCAACGGCAUCGCAGGCAACGCCGGCACAGGCACGGUUGCCGUCAGGCCAAGUCAUGAAACGUCCACGACAACCAUCGUCCUCCCAGGUCAGAUGUCCGUUAAACCAUUCGUCAGCUCAGUGGUAUGAACAGUCUCAAUCUAUUCGUUACAUCCCAAAAGGUCGCGCCGCAACGGCACGGCCAGACGAACGAACGGGCACUCCACAAAACACGACUGUGCCUAAGUGGUCUCACCAGGACUGCUGGUGGCACGCCAGGCGCCAGGACUUGCACCAUUCUCCGAGUGUCGCGCACGCUGAGAGAGCUGCCUCCCAGCUUGUGAGAACCAGGGCCCUCUCCGUCCAUCGUGCUCCGAGCCCAGGCUGCGUAGAUGUGGACUGAACAGUCACUGUAGCUGAAAAGCAGUUUAAGCCAAAUGCAAAUCAAUUGAGUUUAGACCAGUGCCUCCGCCAGCUGGCACGGUUCAUGCGGACAAUUGGCGAAGCUCCUCGGCAUCCUGGUUUGCCCGACGAGCCCGCGGGAGCCACGAUAGCGGGUCAUAAACUUGCCCUCAAUGGCGGUCAUUCCAGGAAUUUGAGCAAGCGGCACGCAAGCAAACGAAGGGCCCAGAAAGUGCAGACAGGGUUUCAGCUGGGGCGCAAGCGGGCAUUUCAGUUCAUGAAUACAGCAUCGCAACACAUAUGGCGUGACCCAGUCGGAAAUCCCCGGUCAAGCGAGCAAGUGAAUGUGCAAGGUGCACCAGUGAACCAGGCGCUCACGUUCGACAACUAAUUAUAAAAUUAUUAUCAUAAAUGUACUGAAAGCAUGCCUAGAUAAUUAAGCCUCUGGCAGAGCAAAGCUCACUGUGUAAAGACUGAAGUCUGAAGCGACCGCCUCACGAAUCAGCGCACGCAUUCAUAACUCAUCAUGAAUGUUGUCUAAAACCAACCUAGGCCAGGGCCAGGGAAACGCCCCAGCGCGACGAUGCGGGACACGCACUCGCGCCCCCGCUUGGCGUACCAAUAUGCAAGCCCACCGGCUUUGCUGUGCAUCGAUGACUACAGCAGCAGCAGUGGCCGGGAUGGACAGCGGGGCUUUGGCCAAGCCGGUGGGCAAGAGGCCCCUUGGUCGGGACGGCCCGGACGUGUCAAUCCUAUGCUUCGGUGAGCGUCAGCCCGGCACUGCCUGCCCGUCGCGCGUGGACCAGCUUGAGGGAAAGAGCCAUGUGUGGGAUCAUGGAGAAAAGUGUAAGCUAUGCCAGCUACAGGGGCGACGUUCAUGUCUACGUUGCUUCCGGUCGUCUGAGUGGCGUGUGCCCGGGCCUCCAUACCGUAUCCCAGCCUGCUGGCAUCUGUCACAGUCACGCUCAUAAAGCGACUGCGGAACCGGCAGGAACCCACCAGCCGUCACAGCGCCGCAACAUCCGCGCCAUUCAUGUCGUUCCCGACGCGGUGCCCGCUGUCACCCACCUCUGCUGGUUGCCACCCACUUCACGCCCUCUCGCGCCCAGGCUGCAUGCUGUUCGGCGAGAGCACCAGCUACCCGCAGGCCGAACAGCUACUGGGCAUGUGCAUGGAGGCGGGGGUCAACUUCUUUGACACGGUGCGCAUGUGCGUGUGUGUAUGUGUAUGGUAUGUGAGCACAUGCCCGUACCGUGAAGCGGAUUGCCGCCACCCCGGCCAGCAAUCCCAGCAUGUGCGGUAAUCAUACCAGGCUAGCUGGCCGCACCCUUUCCAGGAAGCGCACAUACCGGCCCCUUGAGCCGCCCGCUUCAGACGGCUUACCCGCUGCUGCUGCCGCUGCUACUGUGCACAGGCGGAGAUGUAUCCUGUCCCGCAGCGCGCCGAGACGCACGGCGCCUCCGAGGAAUACUUGGGGCGCUGGCUGCGGAGCGGAGCCGUGCGCAGGUGCGCGUGGUGGCCUUGCGAGGUUGCAGCGGUGGCUGUGGCUGCGGCUAUGGCCGUGUCUGUGCCCGUGUCUUUGUCUGUGGCUGUGGCUGUGACUGAGUUGGGCGGAGCUGAGGCCCCAAAGGCAGCGAGGGCGCGGUCCGCAGGGGCAGCGGCACAGGAGGCCACUAGGGUAAUGGGUCGAUGGCAGUGAUAAAAGACCUCAGCCACAGCUGCGGCUUGGCAGCGCUGUGCAGUGUGACAGGGAGGUCUGCCUGCGGUCGCGCGGCACCCCCUGCUGGUCUGGUUCAGCCUGGGGUGGGAAUGACCUCUUAACCCUGUAACGGUUACCACUUCCGGCGCUAUCGCCGCGGUUACCACUUCCGGCGCUAUCGCCGCCUCCAGGGAGGACGUGGUGCUGGCCAGCAAGGUGGCCGGGCCCAGCGGCCAGAUGACCUGGAUACGCGGGGGGCCGCACAAGGUGGACGCACACAACAUCCAGCAGGUGAAUAGAGCAGGACGGCCGAGGCGGGCGGCUGGGUGGGCGGGCAGGCGGGUGGGUGCUGGGUAGUAGAGAUGGAAGCAGGAACAUCGGGCCUCAGGGGCGCUGGGCUCACAGGAAGCGUCCACUGAGUCACUGGUGAACGGCAUUGGCACACGCCGCGCAAUGUGCCGCUCUCCGGCCCGCGGCCCCCGCCCUCUACCGCCAGGCUCUGGACGCCUCCCUGCAGCGCCUGCAGACUGACUACAUCGACCUGUACCAGAUCCACUGGCCUGACAGGUGCGGGAGGAACAACAUUAUAGAUCCGGGCUGUGGGGGGGCUGAGGGGGUUGUACUUGAGGGGGGG
rnacentral:lncRNA from 1 species